CCUACGGGUGGCUGCAGUAGGGAAUAUUGCUCAAUGGGGGAAACCCUGAAGCAGCAACGCCGCGUGGAGGAUGAAGGUUUUCGGAUUGUAAAAUCCUUUUGUUAGAGAAGAUAAUGACGGUAUCUAACGAAUAAGCACAGGCUAACUCCGUGCCAGCAGCCGCGGUAAUACGGCGGGUGCAAGCGUUACUCGGAAUCACUGGGCGUAAAGAGGGCGUAGGCGGGAUAGCAAGUCAGAUGUGAAAUCCUAUGGCUUAACCAUAGAACUGCAUUUGAAACUGUUAUUCUGGAGUAGGGGAGAGGUAGGUGGAAUUCGUGGUGUAGGGGUAAAAUCCAUAGAGAUCAAGAGGAAUACUCAUUGCGAAGGCGACCUGCUAGAACAUAACUGACGCUGAUGCGCGAAAGCGUGGGGAGCAAACAGGAUUAGAUACCCUUGUAGUC
rnacentral:rRNA from 1 species